rnacentral:rRNA from 1 species
UGGUUUGGAUCCCCUCCCAUCUAAGGAAGCAGCAGGCACGCAAAUUACCCAAUCUCGAAGAUGGAGGUAGUGACGAAAAAUAACAAUACAAGACUCAUCCGAGGCCUUGUAAUUGGAAUGAGUAUACUUUAAAACCGUUCCCGAGGAUCUAUUGGAGGGCAAGUCUGGUGCGAGCAGCCGCGGUAAUUCCAGCUCCAAUAGCGUAUCUUAAAGUUGUUGUGGUUAAAAAGCUCGUAGUUGGAUUUCGGCAGGCACAGGUUGGUUUGAAUCGCUUCAACACUGACUUUUUUGCCUGUGUGUUUUGCCGGAGUUUGACAGGGGAUCUUAAUCGAUUGUCCGUUGGAGCUGGCAGGUUUACUUUGAAAAAAUUAGAGUGCUCAAAGAAAGCUUGAUUACUUGAAUAUUCGUGCCUGGAAUAAUAGAAUAGGAAGUCGUUUCUAUUUUGUUGGCUUUCGCAGAUUGACUUAAUGCUUGGAAGGGA